UAAGGAAUAUUGGUCAAUGGACGCAAGUCUGAACCAGCCAUGCCGCGUGAAGGAUGAAGGCCCUCUGGGUUGUAAACUUCUUUUAUCUGGGAAGAAACUCCUGCAUUCCUGCGGGAUUGACGGUACCAGAGGAAUAAGCACCGGCUAACUCCGUGCCAGCAGCCGCGGUAAUACGGAGGGUGCAAGCGUUAUCCGGAUUCACUGGGUUUAAAGGGUGCGUAGGCGGACAGGUAAGUCCGUGGUGAAAUCCCCAAGCUUAACUUGGGAACUGCCAUGGAUACUAUUUGUCUUGAAUAUUGUGGAGGUGAGCGGAAUAUGUCAUGUAGCGGUGAAAUGCUUAGAUAUGACAUAGAACACCAAUUGCGAAGGCAGCCUGCUACACAAUUAUUGACGCUGAGGC
rnacentral:rRNA from 1 species